GAUGAACGCUGGCGGCGUGCCUAAUACAUGCAAGUCGAACGAAACUUCUUUAUCACCGAGUGCUUGCACUCACCGAUAAAGAGUUGAGUGACGAACGGGUGAGUAACACGUGGGCAACCUGCCCAAAAGAGGGGGAUAACACUUUGAAACAGGUGCUAAUACCGCAUAACCAUAGUUACCGCAUGGUAACUAUGUAAAAGGUGGCUAUACUACCGCUUUUGGAUGGGCCCGCGGCGCAUUAGCUAGUUGGUAGGGUAAAGGCUUACCAAGGCAAUGAUGCGUAGCCGAAUUGAGAGGUUGAUCGGCCACAUUGGGACUGAGACACGGCCCAAACUCCUACGGGAGGCAGCAGUAGGGAAUCUUCCACAAUGGGCGAAAGCCUGAUGGAGCAACGCCGCGUGAGUGAAGAAGGUCUUCGGAUCGUAAAACCCUGUUGUUAGAGAAGAAAGUGCGUGAGAGUAACUGUUCACGUUUCGACGGUAUCUAACCAGAAAGCCACUGCUAACUACGUG
rnacentral:rRNA from 1 species